ensembl:snRNA U6 U6 spliceosomal RNA
GUGCUUGCUUCGGCAGCGCAUAUACUGAAAUCGGGACAACACAGAGAUUAGCAUGGCCCCUGCACAAGGAUGACACAUAAAUUCGUGAAGCAUUCCAUAUUUUU